GGUCAAUGUCAUGGCAUGUGUCAGCUGAAUUCAGAAUUGAUGUAAAUUCUGAAGUUACACUGGGAUCUU
rfam:Erinaceus europaeus unplaced genomic scaffold scaffold00660, whole genome shotgun sequence